AGUGAACGCUGGCGGCAGGCCUAACACAUGCAGGUCGAGCGGCAGCGCGGGGGCAACCCUGGCGGCGAGCGGCGGACGGGUGAGGAAUUCGUCGGAAUCUGCCUUUUUGUGGGGGAUAACGUAGGGAAACUUACGCUAAUACCGCAUACGUCCUACGGGAGAAAGUGGGGGACCGCAAGGCCUCACGCAGAAAGAUGAGCCGACGACCGAUUAGCUAGUUGGUGGGGUAAAGGCCCACCAAGGCGACGAUCGGUAGCUGGUCUGAGAGGAUGAUCAGCCACACUGGGACUGAGACACGGCCCAGACUCCUACGGGAGGCAGCAGUGGGGAAUAUUGGACAAUGGGCGCAAGCCUGAUCCAGCCAUGCCGCGUGUGUGAAGAAGGCCUUCGGGUUGUAAAGCACUUUUGUCCGGAAAGAAAUCCCUGGAGCUAAUACCUUCGGGGGAUGACGGUACCGGAAGAAUAAGCACCGGCUAACUUCGUG
rnacentral:rRNA from 1 species